GGAAAUUUGGCUUGGACAUCUGUCACUCUGUUGACCAUUGUGGUUGAUUUAGAUGGUCUGGCUGUUGAGAGGGAACUCGAUGCUCCUGGUGUCUCUUCCAAAGCUGUAUGAUUGGCUAAAGAUGAGCUUCUCCAGUAGAGGACUAUUCUUUGGUUAAGAGUAUACAAGUAGUUGUAUACUUGUAUACAAAAAGCUCUCAAAAAGCUCUCAGGAAAUGAGAACUUCUUUCUCCAUGGGUGAAGACGAAGCCUGGCCAGUCACUAGGACAAUCAGCUUGUCUCCCCAA
ensembl:misc_RNA 7SK 7SK RNA